rnacentral:ncRNA from 1 species
AACUCUUGGGGUGCCCGGUAUUUGGCCGGGCUGAGAUAAAACCCAUAUUACCUGAACCAGAUAAUGCUGGCGUAGGAAAGAGAUGUUCCU